AAGGAGUGAACUAAGUUUCCAAACAGCGAAAAUCAUGAAAUACUUCAGACAAUGGUUUUUCCUACAACUACAGUGUUUCCUGAUUGGCAGUUUAGUUGGCCCUGUUGGCAGAGCACCGAGGCCUCAAGACUUCUCUUACACUGCCUGAUCAGUUGCCUCAACCUGCAAUCCAGUCACACCCAAAUAUGGUCCAGACACGACAUGCCCCAGAUCCACCAGUCGCUGCUGCAUCUCAGAACACAGCGACAGCAAAUCGUCCCAGAAAGCAAGCGACCCUGCAUGUGCCCAAGUAUGCCCCAUAAGAGGCACCAUCUGUCCUGUUUUCAUGACUUUAGCAAAGACCUGACCAGCCAAGACCUGACCAGCCAAGUCAGGAGUGGAGGCACUAAAAAUAGCCACAAUUCCACAAUAUCAGUGGGUUAAGGACAUUGAAAAAUGAGUGGGCAUGUCGAGUCAUUCCGCUGCUGUCAUGGAGGGCAGUGGAGACCAACACCAUGAAGGACAAGGAGAGAGUCCGCUGCUACACAGACCUGCAAGAUUGCUGACCAAAUUCGACAUGUCCCCAGAGAUGUAUGGACAGCCGUUCUAAUCCAUAACCGUACCAACUGCCAAGAACCCCUCCAAGACCUAUACCACCGCAUUGAGGGUCUCGAACAGCACUGGAUUCAGCCAUAGAAGGAUACGAAGGAGGAGGUUUGAGAGGCCAGCAACUUGUAGCAGAUACUCCCUUUGGAGGUAAUGGCCUUUGAGAAGGAGCAUGAUCCAGCGGAGGGGCAUGCCACUGCCAAGCUGGCUCUAUAGCACCCUUAUGUUUGCAGAGGAGGACCAAUGAAAUGCUCCAACCACCCCAGCCCUUCUUCUAUAGACAACGCGGCACCUCAGUGAGCAAGACCACGCCCUACGACGGUGCGGUUGAAAGAUUGAACCAGAAGCGUGAGAAGAUGCUGCAGACGUUUGUGGAUGACACUGACUCCUUUUCCCUGUCCUCCGCCACGAGCCCCCUGUCCGUCACCUUCAAGGUAGGAAACCAGGCGGUGCUUCCCUGCAGCUGGAAGCAGCGCCUGGGGGAGGUGGCGCCCUCCACCUGCUACAUCCAGUGGAGCAGCCCUGCCGACACCGUAUUUGAGCUGCAGGGGGAUAAGAAGUGGCAGGCGGAAGAGUUUCAGGGCCGGAUGGAGGUUCCAGAGGAGAAGCUGAAGUCCGGGGACUGCUCUCUGGUCAUCAGUGACGUACAGAUUGGAGACACGGGGAGAUACGAGAGCUUCAUGGUGGUGGAUGGAGUGAGGUCCGCCAAAACCAAGGUCUUCAUUCAGAGUGUCAAGCUGUCUGUAUCCGACUAUAAAUCCAUUCUGUCUCGAGGUCCAGGUGAGGAUUUAGUUCUGGAUCUGUACACCCAACACUCUGUGAAGGUAGUGUUCCAGGGCAGGAACAGCUCAGAGUGGUCGGUUGUGUGGAUGAGGGGGGAGGAGGACAGUGAACGAAUGGAGCAAGAUGUGGCAAAUGAGCAGCUGACAAUAAAGAACUUAAAGAGCUCGGACGAAGGAAUGUACAAAGUUAUGGACGAGCAGGGCCUCGGUGUCAGCACCGUGCUGCUGUCUGUUAACGCUUCUGAAAUGCGCAACCAUAUAAAUUAAGUUCUGAUACAACUAAACUCCAUUCUCUGCCGGUUUCGAGGGAAACAGAUCUUUUCUCCUGGAUUACGAACACAGUUUUAAUCAGGGAGAGCAAUCUGUGGCCCCUCGAAACCUAAUGGAGAAGGCAGUUUGGUUGUUUAAGAACGUGAUUUUUAGGAGACCAGGCUGGAAUGUGAGGAUUUUCUCCUUCAGGAAACACAGAUCCUUCUACUGGUCUCCAGUAACUCUUGUGUUCUCCUCAACCCGCCCCCCCCCACCCAGCUGCACACCUGUUCACGCUUCCUUACUUGCCUUGUAUAUAUCCACGUAUUCCCAUGCAUAUGUUUGGACCCCUGCUCUCCUUUUUUGACUCCUCCCCUGCUUUCUAGCUGGAUAUGUUUAUUUAGUAGGGCUGGGUAUCCUUUUGAAAGAUACAAUACCGGUAUCUUUAAAGUUGUAAUACCAAUAAAUCGAUGAAUUCGUUUUUGGUCCGAUGCCCGAAAUGAGCUCUGUGGUUAACGCAAGCUAUAGAGAUUUUCAUUUUAUGUUUUAUGUCAGUAAAUACCCCGCUGGUGAAUGUUUGAUGCUCCUAUGUGUCUUACAAAUGGUGGUUGCUAACAAGUAGCUAAAGGAGACUACUACUAACUAAAGAUUAGCCGCCUUUAGUUUAGCGGUGGUGUCAUUAAGUCAUUUGACGCUCAGGUAGAUGGUUUAUAGCCUAACAUUAGCUUUACAUUUCCGGAAAUUGCAUUACUUCAACUAUUCUAAAAGUGGUGUUAAUAUGUGGAGAUUAUCUUGCUGAACAAAAUGUAUUAGUACCAUGAAGGUUUGUUAGCCACAGAUCGUAUUUUCUACAAUAAUCCAAAAUCCAACGGUAAAUCCCCUUGCUAAUUGUCGAGGGAGCCCUUGCUAUGCUAACUAACGGGUUGCUCUAAAAAGUACAUCAUACCUGCACCACUCGUCACUGCAACCACAUUGCAUACCCGUCAUGUUAAUGGGAGCAUCCAGUUGGGCAAAAUGCCAUUACUAUUCCUCCCAAAUUCAAAGGAUCUUUAUUAGAAUACAAUGUUCAAAUGAUUUAAAGAAUUAUACAAAUGAUUAUACCCCACACCCCGGACUGUGGGUGCUGCUGCAGUAAUGGGUGAAUAAAGCGUGGGCACAUGAGGGUUAAUGCAGAUAUUGUUUGACUUGAGAUGUUUAAAGUCAUUUUAUCCCACCUGCAUUAUUUCAUUCAGAUAUCAAAACUGAUAGCCCUUUUUGACUCAAAGUUCCUAACUUCACCGUUGGGUUUUUGCAAUGCUGUUCUGCAGUAAUGUCCAUUCCAGCUUCUCUAAAUCCAAGAUGAUGUCUCUAAAUAUUCUCUUGUCAUUUCAAAACUGUCACGCCUCUGUCUCUGUCCUUUUUUCUGCAUCAAAUGUUUCUUUCAUACAAAUUUUAAAUGAAUUUCCAUCUCUAUCCCAUGAAACUGAUUUUAAUGUUAUGUGUUUUGACAGAAGGCUCCAAAGCUGUCAAACUCGCCCAGACAAUGGACAAUCAAGUACCAACAGAUGGUGCUGUCAGAGGCAGCUGUUCGGCUCUUCUUCUCUUGUCUGUUCUUGUCACAGUUUUCCAAAUUCUUCAUCUUUUCUAAGAAACUUCCCUCUACAAAAUAACUGCACCUAUAUCAAAAGACUAUGCACUAUAGCCAGCAAACAAUGUAUGUUCUGUUUUUACUAGAUAUUAUCGUAGUGUUUCUGAACUUUAACCUAAAAGCUAAUGAGCUAGAUUGGACGUUUGUUGGAUUGCAGUGAAUUUAAGUUAAGUUUGUAUUUGUCUUCAACAGGCUGACUAAAUCCAAUGUGGUAUCAAAUGUUGGAACAAAACGUGUUUUAAAAUAAUUUGGAGUCAUGCUCUAUGUUAAUAACAAUCCAAAGCUACAGUGGCCGACACAGGCACACGUGCUACAACGGCCUUAAACACUUGUGUUAGAACAAACGCCUUGCAAUUUUCAAAAAUGAUGCAAAAAAUUACAAAUGUGCCGAAACACAUGCAAAUGAAUAAAUAUAUCUUCACCAACUUGACAACAGAUGUGCGGCAUUGAGAAAAUAUUCACCAACUUGAGGAAACAUGUGCAGGGUUUACUAAAUGUGCUGCAUAAAGGAAGCGCUGCAACACAACGGAAACCAGGGGACACUCAAAAGUGACGCACACAGCUGGGACCGGAGCGCUUGGUGACGUUCGUGGAUUGUAAAAUUGGCCAAAGUUGGCCAAAUGUCCUAAAAUGUUUUAUCGGCUUAUUUUAUCAAAUGUGAUAUCAUGAUUCUGCUGAUAUUAUUGCAGAUCUGCUGUGAGCUAGCUAGCUAUGGUAGCUAACUUAGUCAUUUCAAAUAUACUUAAAAGAACACUUACAGUAAUGAAACAGACUAACUCUGCAAACAGAGACAGUUGUCCAACUUUAUAAUCCUGAACGUCACCAAGCGCUCCAGUCCCACCUGUGUGCGUCACUUUUUAGUGUCCCCUGGUUUCCGGUGUGUUUUGAGCUUCUUGCAGCGUUUCGUUUAUGCAGCGCUUCCGGUAAAUGCUGCACACGUUUUGUCAGGUUGGUGAAUGUUUUCUAAACGCUGCGCAUGUGUUGUCAAGUUUGUGAAGAUGUUUCUUCAUUUGCAUGUGUUUUGGAACAUCUGUGGUUUUAUAUUUGCAUUGUUUUUGAAAGUGCAGCGCCUUUCUCCUAAUGGAAGUAAAGUAUGUAUGAAGUAUAACAAUUUCUCAAAUCAGAGGUUCAAGUGAAAAAAUUGUGAAAAUGUUUGGGGAAUAAUACAACACAAGACUGUUUAUGCAUGUAUAUGGGAUGUAUGUUUGUGUGUGUAUGUACAUAUGUGCUUGCAUUUGUAUCUAAUAAGAACUUUUUUUGUUGUAAAUACAGAUUAAUUUCUAUAAAGAUUGAGUCACCUGUUUGUGUGAUAUUUGUAUUUAUGUAUUUAGCCCCCAGUGUUGAAAUUCAUUGAGUUCAUGAAUAAAUAAAAAUAAAGCCAUCCAACACAA